rnacentral:rRNA from 1 species
GACGAACGCUGGCGGCGUGCUUAACACAUGCAAGUCGAACGGUAAGGCCCUUCGGGGUACACGAGUGGCGAACGGGUGGGUAACACGUGGGUGAUCUGCCCUGCACUUCGGGAUAAGCCUGGGAAACUGGGUCUAAUACCGGAUAGGACCACUGCCUGCAUGGGUGGUGGUGGAAAGCUUUUGCGGUGUGGGAUGGGCCCGCGGCCUAUCAGCUUGUUGGUGGGGUGAUGGCCUACCAAGGCGACGACGGGUAGCCGGCCUGAGAGGGUGACCGGCCACGCUGGGACUGGGAUACGGCGCAGACGCCUACGGGAGGCAGCAGUGGGGAAUAUUGCACAAUGGGCGCAAGCCUGAUGCAGCGACGCCGCGUGAGGGAUGACGGCCUUCGGGUUGUAAACCUCUUUCAGCACCGACGAAGCGCAAGUGACGGUAGGUGCAGAAGAAGGACCGGCCAACUACGUGCCAGCCGCCGCAGUAA